UCGCCGCGGCCGCGCUGCGUGCGCUCGGGCUGCGAGAACGCGCCCGUGGCCAGCAGCGACUGGGACAACGAGUACUGCAGCAGCGAGUGCGUCGUCAAGCACUGCCGCGACGUCUUCCUCGCCUGGUUGGCCUCGCGCACCUCCAGCAACAGCGUCGUCUUCGUGAAAUAGCCCCGCGCGAACUCGCCGCCCCCUUUUCCUGCCCGUUUCCCCCCAAAACGA